GCACAGUUGCCCGAGAGGUCUAAGGGGUGGCACUUAAGAUGCCCUAGUCAUUAAGACUGCGUGGGUUCGAACCCCACACUGUGUA